AAUAAUGCUUGUAUCAUCAAAACAUUAUUGGGGUUCAUUUCCAACUUACAAUUUUAGUAGCUCAGCAGAAGCUGGGCUAUGAGAAAAUAACAGCCUCUGUCUUGGUGCACUGAUGUUCUGGAGAAGCACCACACAAUAUGAAGCAUGUCUAAGUGUGUCAAAACAAGAGAAUUAUAUUUGACAAGUGAGGAGAAAAGAAAGAGUACGAUCAAAAAUAAAAGAAGACAGGCCUUCUUUUAUUAAGAAGGCGUUUUUCAUUUACUUGCUUUAUGGAUCAGGAAAUGAACAGCUUGAAGCCUACAUACCACUUUGAUUACAAAAGCAAGCAAGGAGCAAAACAAACAUCAUCCACCUAUUUAUUGAUGUCUGGCCUUUCCAACUGCAGAUUUUUUGAAAAAUCAGUCUUUUUUCAAAGUACUGUAUAUUCAAGCCAAAGCAACAAAAGUUGUCCAAACCGAGCAGAGAUUAACAGGCAUCCAAGAAGCAACACCCACUUAUCCUUUUGCUACAGAGAUAAUAUACAGUGAUAUAAAAACAGAGUCUGACAUUGCUGCAGAGAAACAAACAGGCAAACAGUGGCCAUUUUUCUAUUUUCUGGUUGGAAGGGGCCUAUAAAACCAUUGAGCCCCAUCUCCUGCUCAAUACAGGAAUCCCAAUAGAAGUAUAUCUGGCAGAUGGUUAUCUAAUUUUCUCUUGAAUGCCUCUAGUGUUUGGAGCACUUGCUGCCUCUAAUUGGUUCCACUGCCAUACUGAUCUAACAGUUGGGAAUGUUUUUUUUUAAGAUUCAACCAAAAUCAGGCUUUCUGAUUAUCAGUAUGGGGCAUUAGCCUAUGAUUUUGAGGGGGCCUAUUCCAAGAGAGUUAAGGGGCAUCCUUUAGUACUAAAUAUUAAAAUCUGAAAGAAGAUUAACACAGAGAGAAUACAAAGAAACAAAUGCAGAUAACAGAAACCAACUCUGUGUUAAAUUUAAGUGACAAUUCAUGGAAAACAAGGGGGUACAGAAAUUUUUUUUGACAAGACUGUCUUUAAGAAGAAAAGUGACAACUGCAAUUUCUCCAGUUGUGGAAAUCAUAUUCUGAAUCUUUUUGGUACGGAUUGUACUGAAGUCUGCAGUGAAGCUGUAACAUUCUUUGGAAUCAUACAGAAAAUGUUCAGUAUAUUCAGUUCAAGUCCCCAGCAGUGGGAGAUACUGAAAGAACAUCUUCCAGUCUUACUGUAACCACCACCUCCUUUCUCUGUAACCAACAAAACUUGUGACAAAUAUACACAAUAAAUUGCACUGAAAUAAUAGAUUGCUACA
rnacentral:lncRNA from 1 species